ACGGGAGGCAGCAGUGGGGGAUAUUGCACAAUGGGGGAAACCCUGAUGCAGCGACGCCGCGUGAGUGAUGAAGUAUUUCGGUAUGUAAAGCUCUAUCAGCAGGAAAGAUAAUGACGGUACCUGACUAAGAAGCACCGGCUAAAUACGUGCCAGCAGCCGCGGUAAUACGUAUGGUGCAAGCGUUGUCCGGAUUUACUGGGUGUAAAGGGAGCGCAGACGGCAUGGCAAGCCAGAUGUGAAAGGCAGGGGCUCAACUCCUGGACUGCAUUUGGAACUGUCAAGCUAGAGCAUCGGAGAGGUAAGUGGAAUUCCUAGUGUAGCGGUGAAAUGCGUAGAUAUUAGGAGGAACACCAGUGGCGAAGGCGGCUUACUGGACGAUAACUGACGUUGAGGCUCGGAAGCGUGGGGAGCAAACAGGAUUAGAUACCCUGGUA
rnacentral:rRNA from 1 species